rnacentral:rRNA from 1 species
UACGAAGGGGGCUAGCGUUGCUCGGAAUCACUGGGCGUAAAGGGUGCGUAGGCGGGUCUUUAAGUCAGGGGUGAAAUCCUGGAGCUCAACUCCAGAACUGCCUUUGAUACUGAGGAUCUUGAGUUCGGGAGAGGUGAGUGGAACUGCGAAGUGUAGAGGUGAAAUUCGUAGAUAUUCGCAAGAACACCAGUGGCGAAGGCGGCUCACUGGCCCGAUACUGACGCUGAGGCGCGACAGCGUGGGGAGCAAACAGG